GGAGAGGUGGCCGAGUGGCUUAAGGCGCUCUUCUGCUAAAGGAGAAUGGGUCAAACCAUCGAGGGUUCAAAUCCCUUCCUCUCCG
rnacentral:tRNA from 1 species